ACCCCAGAAACUCAAGGGAGGAAACUGACUGCCUUCCUGGGGUUUUCUUAACUGUGCUUUGCUUUUCCGCUCUGCAGGAAAGAUGCAACCUGGGCCAGAGGCCCCUGGAGGCUGUGCCUGACCCCAGACAGCUCUGACGAACCUGAGCAGCCGUUAGCAGCUGUGUGGGCUCCUUUGCACUGUGGGGCUGCUCCUGGGGAUAUUUAUGUUGUGAACUGGUAGAAUCUGAACUGCAGAAUGUAAAUUUCCAGACAUUCUUCUUAGAUGAUGCAGUCUGCCACAGAGACCAUGUAGAUGGAUUGAAUCGGGGGGAUAUGAUGGGGAUGACCACCCCUGCAUUUGCUGAGUUCUUGAGAGUGGCAUAAAUCUCAGUCAUUCCACUGGACUAGGGUCAGGAAAACAAAUCUUGAGGGCUCUACCAGCUGCUAAGUCUAUCCUUUCCAAUUAAGCAUACUGGAACUGAGGAAGCAACAACAGAGUGAAUCCUAAGACCCUCAUCAUCACUGUUGAGCCUGCCUUGACAAGAACUCCAUUUAUCACCUGCCUUCAUAAUUUCCCAUCCUAAUUAGCUGUCACCAUGGAAUUUCAGGUUCUGCUGAUGUCAUUAGAAUGAACCUUAACUAGUGGGCUGGAGGCAAUGAGGGGAUGUGAGGAUGCAUCUUGUGAAGGACAAAAGCCAUUUUGUAAGUA